UACAGAGGGUGCGAGCGUUAAUCGGAAUUACUGGGCGUAAAGCGCACGUAGGCGGCUUGGUAUGUCGGGUGUGAAAUCCCCGGGCUUAACCUGGGAACUGCAUUUGUGACUGCAUAGCUAGAGUACGGUAGAGGGGGAUGGAAUUCCGCGUGUAGCAGUGAAAUGCGUAGUUAUGCGGAGGAACACCGAUGGCGAAGGCAAUCCCCUGGACCUGUACUGACGCUCAUGCACGAAAGCGUGGGGAGCAAACAGG
rnacentral:rRNA from 1 species